UGAGCGAUCGGAGGGCGGGGCGGUGCCUCCGCGGGCGCGGAGGGAGCACGGGCUGCGCAGGUCGACGGGACCCCCAACGCUGGCCCAGGUGAAGCAAUCCGGGAGUAGUGUCCCGUCCCCAAACUCAGGGUAGUUUCAAUGACUUUAAUGUUUCCCUUUUGGGGAGAAAUAAUAAUUGAUGCCUCCAGCUGUUUUAAUUCAAUUUGCAGCCCUGACAGAAGAGGUCUCUGCAAUUGUAUACUUCUGACACGGUACCUUUUUAGCCUCCCAGGCCCGUCAAGGAUCUGGUGAAGCCACAGGAGAUUAGGCUGCGGCUCCCCUCCUCGCAGCCUGACCCUCCGCGGCCGAUGGACGGAGCCUCCGUGCCGCUCUGGGCUGUAGUGGCCGUCUCCGGGGGAAGGAGAGGCCGGAGCCGGCGGCUGCUCCCGGCGGCGGCGGAGGCUCCCGGCAAAAAGUCGCGCCAGGGCUGCGGCCAGGAGAAACGCGGCGGGGUAGGGAGGCAGGAGGAGGAUGGGGCAGCGGAUCAGCCCGCGUCCAGCUCCCAGAAUGUCCGGACGCCUGAGCGUAUCAGCCGCCUAAGUCUGUGUUUUUUCUAGUGCACUCCGCUUUGGAAGCUGCAUGUCCUCGUACCUGUCCGGGCUUUUCUCGAGUGCUGGAGUGCAGAAGCGGUGAAGAGUGGGAGGAUCCCGCCCGAGAUAGCAAAAUAGAGUUUUCCUUUGCAAAGCAAGAGAGAGACAGUUCAAAUUCGUUAAAAACAAAUUCGGGGAUGUCGGUGAAGGGUCCGUAAAGCCCCUUGGCACAAUUAUCCCACCCUUCCUUUACAAAACGAGGACUCGGCAGCUUAGUUCCUUGAUGCAGGCAGGCUUCUCCGGGAUUUAAACGGUGCUUGUUUGUAAACGAAAGCAACCCGGCCUGAGGCUUCCUAGCCAACUUAAUCGGCGGGAUAGUUCGCAGCCGCAGCCGUUAGCGGACGGUCACGGCAAGGGAGAACCGAUCCAGUGCGAACAUUACUCUGGGCAGAAAUGGCGAGAGGACACCCCCCCGACAUCUGCGCACACACCGUAUUCCUUUCGCGAUGGAGAAUAUAGUCCCGUUCCACUCCCUCCUGCUCUGAGGACCGUAGCAAAAGACAAAAGCGCUAGUAAGCGGCUGAAUCUGAACUGGAGCAGCUGAUCAGUCUAGCCGGGAAUGAGAUGUCAAAACCAGUUGCAUGGACUUAGAUCUGAGAAAGUGUCUUCUUAGCACCCUAAAAAGUGAGUACAGAAUCUACAAGCCAGACCCUCCGUAGGAACUUUCACUUUAAACAGGCUGCAGAUUGCACGAAACAGUAGUUCAGUUCCUAGAGCUCUGGGUUCGCCCUUGCAGACACUGCAUGCAAAGCCACGGCGCGGGGCGAGACAAGUUGCAUCGACUUGCGAGGGAAUCAAACGACAGGGAGAGGAGGUUUUUUUUUUUUAUUAUUUAUUUUUAUUUUCCCCAUUUCCCUCCCUUUUUUCUUUCCUGGCAUUUGCGAAAGAGCUCGGUCACUGCAGUUAUAUUUCAGAGCAGGAGAAUCGAAUUGCUUGCUAACAUCUGCCUUUAGGCCGACAGGAACGUUUUGCUUGAUCUUUCCGUUCAGCCGCAGUGAAAGGCUCUAUGUGGGCUGACUGAAACUUGUGCCCGGUCCCGCUGCCGCCCGGCUGUGUAGCCUGGGGUUUCAUUUCAGCCCUUGCCCCGGCCCCGUGAGUGGUUUUGUCGAGGGCCCCUGUCGGGAGGAGCCUCCACGCAGUCAUCUCGUACAAAGCAGUGUGCGAGACCGUCAGUGUCAACACAAUAAUUGCGAAAUACGAGUGAAAUAAAAAGUCGAUUUUAUCGUAA